CUGGUUUGAGAGGAUGAUCAGCCACACUGGGACUGAGACAGGCCCAGACUCCUACGGGAGGCAGCAGUGGGGGAAUAUUGGCUACAAUGGGCGGCAAGCCUGAUGCAGCCAUGCCGCGUGUGUGAAGAAGGCCUUCGGGUUGUAAAGCACUUUCAGUCAGGAGGAAAGGUUAACGGUUAAUACCCGUUAGCUGUGACGUUACUGACAGAAGAAGCACCGGCUAACUCCGUGCCAGCAGCCGCGGUAA
rnacentral:rRNA from 1 species